rnacentral:tRNA from 1 species
GCCCGGAUGGCGGAAUUGGUAGACGCGCUGGACUUAAAAUCCAGUGACCUUUGGGUUGUGCGGGUUCAAGUCCCGCUCCGGGUA